rnacentral:rRNA from 1 species
AUUGAACGCUGGCGGAAUGCUUUACACAUGCAAGUCGAGCGGCAGCGCGGGGCAACCUGGCGGCGAGCGGCGAACGGGUGAGUAAUACAUCGGAACGUACCCAGUUGUGGGGGAUAGCCCGGCGAAAGCCGGAUUAAUACCGCAUACGACCUGAGGGUGAAAGGGGGGGAUCGCAAGACCUCUCGCAGUUGGAGCGGCCGAUGGCGGAUUAGCUAGUUGGUAGGGUAAAGGCCUACCAAGGCGACGAUCCGUAGCUGGUCUGAGAGGACGACCAGCCACACUGGAACUGAGACACGGUCCAGACUCCUACGGGAGGCAGCAGUGGGGAAUCUUGGACAAUGGGGGCAACCCUGAUCCAGCCAUUCCGCGUGAGUGAAGAAGGCCUGG